UUGAUGGAGAUAUCUGAAGUUUGGUCAAAGGAUGCAUCUUCUUUGGGAUGAGGCAUAUCUAUUAGGAGGCAAACAGACUAGUGGAAUGGAUAGUUUCCUUCGUGGUUGAUCAUUUUGGUGGAGUUCUUUGGACUAGUGAGGUGCAUAUGCUAAAGGCUUUUCUUUUUUUUUUGCUAAGGCAGGCAAGUCAAACUACACGAGAACGAACACACCCAAGAAAAUCAGAAAAUAGAAUAUCAUGGAAUGCUCUAGGCAAAUCCUCUUUCCAGGUCCACAGGGUGCCACCGAAGUGAUUGGCCGCAUAAGUGGCCACCCAAUCUGCAACACUAUUGGCCUCCCUAAAGACGUGCUUGGCC
rnacentral:lncRNA from 1 species